AUGCUCACUUCGGCAGCACAUAUAUACUAACAUUGGAAUGAUGCGGAGAAGAUUAGCAUGGCCCCUGCUCAAGGAUGACACACAAAUUCAUGACGAAUUCCAUAUUUUU